GAGACUCUGGAGUGAAAUACCUCUGUGAUCUACUGAUGAACCCAAAAUGCAAGCUGGAAAUACUGGAUCUGUGUGGAUGCAGAAUUACAGAGAAACAGUGUCUGAUCCUGAUUCUAGGUCUGUGUUCAAACCCAUCACAUCUGAGAGAGCUGAACCUCAGUGAGAAUCAAAUGAAAAACUCAGGGGUGAAUCACUUAUGUGAUGUACUGAAGGAUUCACAAUGUAAACUGGAGAGAUUGAGGUUAAGAUACUGCGAUAUAACAGAUGAAGUUGUUCUUCUCUGACUUCAGCUCUGAAAUCAAACCCAUCACACCUGAGAGAGCUGGAUCUUAGUGGGAAUAAAGUAAAAAACAAAGGAGUGAAGCACUUAUGUGACAUACUGAAGAAUUUAGACUGUAAACUGGAGAGAUUGAGCCUAAAUGACUGUGGCAUUACGGAUGUUGCUUGUUUGGCUCAGCAUUUGGCUAAGACGAAAGCUUUGCAUUUUUUAAAAGAACUUGAUCUGAAAAAGAAUAAAAUAGGAAACUCAAGGAAGCAGCUCAGUAAAGCACUUAAAGACUC